CCAUGGCAACAGCGCCCAGGCCCCUACCUGCCCGCUCCCAGGCACAGGCAUUACCUUUCUCCAUCUGUAGAGGCUUUCUUCUCCAGCUGUGCUCCCGGGGCAGAGCCCAGCACUCCUGCAGCAUGGAUUCGGUUCAGGUCCAACCAGGUGCCACCAACGUAAGAAGCUAAAAGCACUAAAACCCUUCGAGCCAUCUGGAAAUGUAAGAACUAUUCAAGAGCAGUCUGGCCCCCUCCUCACACUGGCUCUGCAAGCGCUGCCUGGCCCUCUCCUCACACACGCUCUGCAAGCGCUGCCUGGCCCUCUCCUCACACUGGCUCCGAGGUCUGCACACCCACAUGUAAAUGCAGAGCCUGGCAGUCCAUUCAUCACCGUGCUAAUUGGCUCCACUUCGCAUCAGGUCAUAUUCCAAUCCUUGGCCAGCGCUCACUGUUUACAUGCCGUGCCCUGCGUGCUGCCACACUGAGCCUGGCUGCAACAGACAGAAUGGCCCCAAAACAGCUGGCUGUGAACAGUGCUAGUCCUAUCAACAAACUUGCCUUCGGGGAUUAAAAUUACAUCGUCCUGGGGUUACUUGCUAUUAAAAAGCAACAAUCUCUCAUCUUUCCAUAUAUUCUCAGAGAGGGGUCAGGCACUGGGAACAGGCUGCCCAGGGAAGUGGUGGAGUCACCAAUACUGGAGAUGUUUAAGGAAAAGGUAGAUGUAGUACUGAGGGAUGUGAUUUAGUGGGCAAUAUUGGUGGUAGAUGGACCACUGGACUAGAUGAUCCUAGUGGUCUUUUCCAACCUUAAUGAUUCUAUUCGAUGAUUGCACUCAUUUGGUGUCAGGUACUUCCAACACACCAGAUCAGACUGUUUCUGGAAUAGAUUCUUCUCCGGCUGUACUUCUUCAGGGAAGGACCAGCAUCACCUUUUCUAUCCCAUGUAAUUGUACAAAAUGCCAGCCUUAAUGGCAUCUGGGCAGACCAAGCUCUUUGAAGUUACUCACCUCUCUGAGGAGAAAGAAGUACUAAAUUGUUCUGAAUUGUUUCAGGUAAGGAAAAUAAGAGAGAGAGAGAGAGAGACAGAGAGACAAAGAGAAAAAAAACUGACACAGGACUUAGGAUGACACAAAUUAUAUUUCUCAACAUCGCCAAGAAACAGAAUGGGACAAAUCCAUCUAGUACUUGUCACUGGAACUGGGCGUCACAGCUCUGAAUACAAUGGGAAUUGUUCAGCUUUGUUUAAACAAAACAAGAAUUAAAAUAAUAAUAAUAAAAAAAAAAAAACACCCAAAAACCAAA